GACUGGGCCGAGACAAAGCGCCUCGCUCUAACCCUGUCGUCUCUCCCUUUUCCUGUGCCGGCGACGAGUGACGCUUGAUUUGCUUCUCCGUGUAUGAAACGGGCGGAGUAAUGGUUCGUCUUGAUUUCUUUUUAUUCAAUCGCCCACAAAGAGAUCUUGAAUGAUGCAUUCUUCACUCUGAGACGGUUUCAGAUCGAGUUUUCUUCUCCUACUUGAAGACCGGUGGUUGCACAUCCGCCGUCGAGGCUAGGGUGCUGCGUUUCUGGGAGGCGAGAAAUGUCAAGCGCCGUGGUGAACUCAUGUGGGUUGAUAUAAUUUCGGUUGAUGUGAAUAUUUUGAAGGUUUCGUUCAUAUCUGGAAAGAAGGGAAUCGUAAUUCUGGGCUUGAUCUAGAUUCAUAUAUACGGGACAUCAAGGAGAAGUUGCCUAUGUGGCGGUGGAAUUUGAGACAGCGAAAUCAAGCUCUGCAAUCGAGAAGACUAAUGAGCUCCCUGAUGGUCAGGUGAUCCCGAUUGGUGCAGAAAGGUUCUGCUCGGAAGUCCUCUUUCAGCCAUUGUUUGUCGGGAUAGAAGCACCAGGGUUUAUAUUGUGAUCUAGACCGUUGUUGCUAAUUUAUAGAUUUACAUAAAUUGACAUAACUCCUACCGUUUAGUUCCAGAGAUAUCGUAGGUGAAGUCAUGGGAAUGAAUACAACUUACAAUAAAGAAACCCAGACCACUCAACGUGUUAUGGCAGUCAUCCGCAUUCACAGUUGCAAAACGGUGAGUUAGUGUUUUCAAUGGCCUUGCCGUGCAACUACGUACUAAAUUAGGCUCGACUGGUUUUAAGCCAAAGGUCAUAGUUGAGACAAACAUUAAUACGAAAAUGGUUGGAGGCCGACUCUUCCUAAAUUCAGCUUCUUGAACUUUCUCCUUCGACAAGGAGAGUAGCACAGGCGUCGGUAACCUGAAAGUGCUGAUGCAGACUGCACCAGUGAGUCCUCUACUUAUACGCAAGAUGGAGGUGUCAAGAAGAUUGAGUCGAUAACACUACCAGAGCUGAUGCUUAUGUACUGAGUUCACCCCCGAGACUGCAUAGUUUCUAUGCCCUAGGAAGGUAACUGAACUAAAUGGUCUCCGUGCAACCACCGAGAUAGAUGCCUACUGAGAAGUCCCAAGAUGAUGAUGUUGGACACUCUGAAAGAAGGCACGAGACUUUCACAAAUCACAGUUACUCUAAUCUCCUUAAAAAAAAUCGUUGCAUCAAUAAGAUCGAGUGCAAGUCUAUGUGGUGUUUUGACUACAUUUAGCUGUUUAAAACAUUUCCGUAUCCAUCUAUAAACCUAUGUUUGUUUCCUAAAAAUUGUGUGAAUGGAAUAUCUUAGAACACAA